UGGUGACAUCCUGAGAGGGCGCCAGCGAGUUGAUGAGGAGGGAUUUUAUUUGUGGUUCGAUAUUUCUUUCUCUUUUUGGGGAGUCAGUCUUGUCGCAGCAGUUGUUGGUGUCCGGAUAAGAGGAGGAGAGAUUGUGCCAGCUGCCAACAAAACUCAAAAUACUGGUAAACUUCCUCUGCUUUCAGGCUUCCUUCAGAGAGAAACAAAUGCAUCGUCGUGCAAUCCGCUCCCUUAAAUAACAAUAAUUAGGUAUUUCAUUUCAUGAUUUCCUUUCCCUUUGGGGAGCAUUGGGCGGCUGUACCCGGCCAUUUGAACGUAUCCACAGCUCUUACAAGGCCCCAUGACUUUAUUUUCCCUUAAGAUACAUAUUUCUAAAUUAUCUAGUGUGUCUGUGUGAAUUGUUCCUGAUCCCUGGUGCCGGCCUGGCCUGGCCUGUCCUGACCUGACUCGACUAGACUCGUGGUCUCUCAAUGUUGCCAUGGCGUCUGUGGGGACAGAGAAAUGCUCCAUCAAGAAGAAAAGUGAGAAAAAAUUCGCAGCCAGAGAAGAAGCCAAGCUGCUAGCAACUUUUAUGGGUGUCAUGAACAACAUGCGAAAACAGAAAAUUUUGUGUGAUGUCCUUCUGGUGGUGUCGGAUCGAAAAGUCCCAGCUCAUCGAGUAGUGCUUGCAGCUGCCAGCCACUUUUUCAGUCUAAUGUUUACCACAAAUAUGCUUGAAUCAAAGUCUUAUGAAGUGGAACUCAAAGAUGCUGAACCUGACAUAAUUGAACUGCUGGUAGAGUUUGCUUAUACUGCAAGGAUCUCUGUUAACAGCAAUAAUGUCCAAUCUCUAUUGGAUGCAGCAAACCAGUAUCAGAUUGAACCAGUGAAAAAAAUGUGUGUUGAGUUCCUCAAAGAGCAAAUUGAUGCUUCAAAUUGCCUUGGAAUAAGUGUGUUGGCAGAGUGCCUCGACUGUCCAGAGCUCAAGACUUCAGCAGAUGCAUUCAUUCAUCAGCAUUUCACUGAAGUUUACAAAACUGAUGAGUUUUUGCAACUUGAUGUCAAAAGAGUAACUCAUCUGCUGAAACAAGAUGCAUUGACAGUUAGAGCAGAAGACCAGGUUUAUGACGCAGCAGUCAGGUGGUUAAAAUAUGAUGAGCUCAAUCGACAGCAGUUUAUGGUUGAUAUUCUGGCUAAAGUCAGAUUUCCACUAAUCUCUAAGAAUUUCUUGAGUAAAACUGUCCAAGCAGAAUCACUCAUACAGGAUAAUCCAGAGUGUCUUAAAAUGGUUAUUAGUGGCAUGCGCUAUCAUCUUCUGUCUCCAGAGGAUAGAGAGGAAUUGGGAGAAAGUACACGGCCAAGACAGAAGAAACAUGAUUAUCGUAUUGCAUUGUUCGGUGGAUCUCAGCCGCAGUCCUGUCGAUACUUUAAUCCCAAGGAUUAUACUUGGAUGGACAUUCGUUGUCCAUUUGAGAAGCGUCGAGAUGCAGCCUGUGUCUUCUGGGACAACGUUGUUUACAUGUUGGGUGGUUCACAGCUUUUCCCCAUCAAACGGAUGGACUGCUACAAUGUGGUUAAGGAUAGCUGGUAUUCUAAGCUGGGUCCUCCAACUCCUCGAGACAGUCUUGCAGCAUGUGCUGCAGAAGGCAAGAUUUACACAUCUGGAGGCUCCGAAGUAGGAAACUCUGCCUUGUAUCUGUUUGAAUGCUACGAUACCAGAACAGAGAAUUGGCAUACCAAACCCAGUAUGUUGACACCUCGAUGCAGCCAUGGUAUGGUGGAGGCUAAAGGACUCAUCUAUGUUUGUGGGGGAAGUUUAGGCAACAAUGUAUCUGGAAGAGUUCUAAAUUCCUGUGAAGUGUACAAUCCUGCAACUGAGUCGUGGACAGAACUUGCUGCAAUGCUGGAGGCUAGGAAGAACCAUGGAUUAGUUUUUGUAAAUGACAGAAUCUAUGCUGUUGGUGGACAAAAUGGACUUGGCUCCGGAAUCCUGCAGCCUUCCAAGUUAGAUCCAGAGUCCCAUCUGCCUUGUGCAAAUGCAAUAAAAUGACACACAGCCAAACUUCUCAGACGUUUCUGUGGCAUGAAAGGAAAAGGAGAAUACAAACUAUACCAAAAAAAAAAUCAGUCGUACUGAAACAGUAAGAAACCAAGUUCCAGACAUAUAAUGAAGUAUAAAACUUCUAUUUCAUCUUCGGGAUAAGUGAAUUUCUCAAACAGUUUUUUCUCAUGUUGCAUUCUGGUACAGAACCAUCAUUUAGUAUUAUUUGAGGUGGUCUGGAUUCCAUAGAAUAUUAUGAUAUUAAAAUGAAUGAUUGGAAAAUGGUGUCAACGAUGCCCUGGAAAGGGGUAACAGUUAAAUGUGCAGCAGUAGGUCCCAUAAUCUACGUCUUGGCUGGUUUCCAAGGUGUAGGCCGAUUAGGUCACAUUUUGGAGUACAACACUGAGACCGACAAAUGGACAACCAAUUCUAAGGUCCGCGCUUUCCCUGUAACCAGUUGUCUUAUAUGUGUUGUGGACACAUGUGGUGCAAAUGAAGAAAAGGUUGAAACUUGAAAAAACAUCCGUGGAGCUACAAGGAUGAUGUUUGUGCUGGCUUAAACUGGUAUUUGAAGAUAUUUCUAACUCCGGAAGUCUUUUGAAAUGUUUUAAAGUGAUGUUGGUAUUCAGGAUUAUUUCUUGAGUUAUUAAAAAAAGGCUGUUUGCCUAAUGUUGCAGAA